UACGUAGGGUGCAAGCGUUGUCCGGAAUUAUUGGGCAUAAAGAGCUCGUAGGCGGUUUGUUGCGUCGGCUGUGAAAUCCCGAGGCUCAACCUCGGGUCUGCAGUCGAUACGAGCAAACUAGAGUGUUGCAGGGGAGACUGGAAUUCCUGGUGUAGCGGUGAAAUGCGCAGAUAUCAGGAGGAACACCGGUGGCGAAGGCGGGUCUCUGGGCAACAACUGACGCUGAGACGCGAAAGCGUGGGGAGCGAACAGG
rnacentral:rRNA from 1 species